CAUCCAGCUGUACACCAGGACGGGAACAAUCCUGAAAGGAGGACAUCGUUUGCCCACAUACCGCUGUGCCAGAGGUUCAACAUCCCUUGAAUCUUUUCAUCUUCACCUGAAUAGGUUCAUCCCUGGCACCCUGGCAAGUGAUGUCUUCUUCCAGGCCUACCUGUUAGAUGGGCUGGCCAGGUGGAAUGAAGACCGCGCUGUAGCCGCCACAUCAGACAAGCAGCAGCAGCCAUGCUCCUACGACCAUCUCCUGCGGCAUGCUGCUAACAGUUUGUCUGAGGAGGUCCUUGGCCAGGAAAUUGUUCCCUAUACUGGGCCAAGGAAAUACACAGGUGAACUUCUAGGGGUGGAGUACCUUUACCAGCAAACUGGUAAAGUUCUCCAAGAUUACAGACAGGCUGUUGAA